GUAGGGUGCAAGCGUUAAUCGGAAUUACUGGGCGUAAAGCGUGCGCAGGCGGCUUUGCAAGACAGAUGUGAAAUCCCCGGGCUUAACCUGGGAACUGCAUUUGUGACUGCAUGGCUGGAGUGCGGCAGAGGGGGAUGGAAUUCCGCGUGUAGCAGUGAAAUGCGUAGAUAUGCGGAGGAACACCGAUGGCGAAGGCAAUCCCCUGGGCCUGCACUGACGCUCAUGCACGAAAGCGUGGGGAGCAAACAGGAUUAGAUACCCUGGUAGUCCACGCCCUAAACGAUGCGGACUGGACGUUGGGAGCAACUAGGCUCUCAGUGUCGAAGCUAACGCGUUAAGUCCGCCGCCUGGGGAGUACGGUCGCAAGACUG
rnacentral:rRNA from 1 species